CAAAACUGACUACCGAAGCCUUGUCUAUCGUCCCUUCGCUCCCGUCCUCUCCCAACCCCCUUCUCCGCCGCCGGUGUCGCCGGCCGUUCUAGCCAUCUACCUCGCCGCCGAGCACUGCCUCGUCUCUGCCUUGUUUUCCUAUCACAUCACCGCAGCACUGAAUCGUUGAUUCCGCCAUACCCGUGCCGCCUGGGCUAACCCUAGCCGCCUCGGCGCGACGCGGUUCAACAUCCGCCGAUGUCGGGCUCCUUCCGGCCAAUUCACACCGGCGCGACACCGUGUAGGUCUACUACGCUGCCCCCCCUCGCCGCGCGGUUAUUCCGCUCUCACGGUGGCCCUGGUCGCCACUGUCGGCGGCGCGGCUCCCACGCCUCGUGUUGCUCCUGUGCGUCUCCCUCGCGGACGCAUCGUCUUCGGCCUCCUCCUGGCCUCCCGCACCGCCUAGAUGCCCCUUCUUCAACUCGCCUCAUGCGCGGCUACCCCGCGCACGUCGGCGGCCCAUGGACCCUGCGCAUGUGCGCUCGGUUGCCGGUUGCAGAUGGGAAGCCGGCGCACGCGACGGACAGUGAAGCGGCGGGUGCCGGGAUCACGAAGUUGGAGGCAAAGCGGCUGGUGGCGGACGGUCGCGACAGCAACAUCACCUUCGACGAGUUCCACCACUUCCAUUGAUACAUCAGCGAACAGAAUAAGGAAGUCCUUAUAAGUGUAGCCUUCAUCCACCUGAAGCAGGCCGAUCUGUCCAAGCAUAUCGAAAACCUCUCCGCCGCUAGCCGCGCCAUUCUGCUCUCCGUCUCCAUUAGUUCGCCUUUCACCUCUUGGUUUAUGCUCCAUUGCGUGGGACAUCAUGGUUAACCAUUGGUUGAUUUUGCAAAGUCUUACCUGCAGUCACUCGUGAGGGCUCUGUCGCUACUCCUCGACGUCACCAACUUCUCGCGUUGGAUCCAGAGAAAAGACGGAAGCUCCAGCAAAUCCUUAUCUGAUAUUACAGGAUUGGCAACAAGAUGGAGCUUGAGGCUGUGAAGGCAACCGUCCAGUUGCUGAAAAAGGCUCGGCUGCCCUGGCACUACUUCGACUACCUCGCCGUCUCCAUCUACCACGGCCUCGGCUACAGCCACGACUGCGCGCCCGAUUCAGGAGGAUAUGUGCUGACUAUGCUGAUCAGCCAGACUAUGAAGCUGGAUUGCAGGAUUUCCUUGAGCGUUUGACAAACAAUGAGAAGGUCUACGAGCCAGUGGAGGAAGGUUCUUAUAUCAAAAUGAUUGAUAUGGUUAAAGGGGAGGGUGGUCAGUUACAGGUGAACAAUAUUAGUGGCUAUCUAUCUCCCUGGUCAUAUUGUCUUUUUCUUGGUGUACUCUCAUCUUGCGCCUCGGCCUAUUCUUCAACAAAACAUUAGAUUAACCUUUUCAUACCUAUUAUAUAUUUACAUCUGAACACACUGUUGUGAUGUUUUGUAAUGUACUGUGCAACUUGCAACCAGGUCAGGCAAAAAGGACAAGCUGAGAUAUCGCUACCCCCGUGGGGAAUCUUACCUUGAUGUGAUUCAGAGGUUGGAACCUGUCAUCAUCGAGCUGGAGCGCCAGCGAGCACUAGUGGUUGUUAUAUCCCACCAGGCCGUACUGCGAGCGCUGUACUCGUAUUUUUCCGACAGGCCUUUGAGGGAAGUUCCAGACAUGGAGGUAACAUGGGACAUUUUUAUCUUUUGUCGUUGCUCAGUUCUGUAUUGAAAACUCUCAGAAACAUUGCUGAACCAAAUCAAUCCCUUUGUAAUGUAAUCUAGAUGCCACUCCAUACCAUAAUCUUUCUGCUGACAACAGUAAUAGAUUCGAAGUUCAUUAUCAUUUUCUAUAAUUCUUAAAAUGUGAUAGAAAUUGUUUGACAUAGAUGCCAUAUUUGGAUGAGCGGUCUCCAUUAAAGAUGGACUAUGCAGAUUCCUUAUCUGGAAUUGUGGAAGCUCAAACUUACACCAUUCCGUGCCUUCCUAUUGAUGCAUCAAAGGUGGAAAAGCAUGCCAUCUUGUCAAUUCUUGCCAUGUGUUUCUAUUAUUUUGAUCAAAUCUUAUACCUUAUUUACUACCGUACUAGAAGUUGAUAAGUAGCACCUCAUCUUAUAUUUUCAAGUAGUUUAUGGUGCCUGGAGCACCCAUCUGCCGUCGAUUUUCAAGUGACUGUGUAUUAUAAUACCAAGGCUACGAGGAGCUAAUUGUAUGCUCAGUUCAUUAGGGGUGUUACUACAUAUACCUUUGUACAUAAUCUUGGAGAGGAUGGCUGCAGCAUUAUUGUUUCUUUGAAUUCCUGCCCUGUUGAUCCUACCUUCUCCAUGAUUUCUAGGAAAAGUUUGCGGGUCGACAAGAUACAAGCGUUGGCUGAUGGACUUACUACUUCAGAGUAAAUAUUUGUAGCAAUUUUGCUUUACACCUCACCUUCUUGAUUCUACAGUCUUUUUGGCAAAGUUGUUUACAACCGUGGAUGGAAAUAUAAUUUGUGACAUAUGGAAACUUCACUAAUACUGGUUGACAAUUAAAGGUGUAGUUUCUUGUGUCUAUUCACAUGUGCACUUCACUAGUCACUGCUUUGAUAUACUGGUUGGAUGACACUGUAACAAUUUGGUGGUUGCAUUGUAGGCCUCGUCCUAUAGUGUUUGUGGACUAUAUGAUCUUUAGUUUGGUCUCUUUUGAGUUUGGGUUAAUGGAGUUUUGACAAUUUACGGGCGUCAAUAGUAAACACUCUGCUUUCACUUUUCUCACUAUACUUGAGUCAGUGAAUUUUACCUGCAGGUUCAGCCUGUGCUUCAUCAGGUGCAUCUUGAUCAUCCGGUGGACUCAUGUUUAGAUCAGGUACAUCUGCCUCUUUCGCUGAACUGCUCUAUUUGUUCUCGGUCUCUAUUGAUGAACUGAUCAUGUACACUGGGACUAAACUGCUAUGUGCAUGAGAUGGAGCCGACGCUUUGUGUGGAGGGCAGCGGUAGGCUAGGUCGGCGGAGGAGCUUGGGUGCUCCAAAGGCGUGGUCCACGAGGAAUAGGCGAUGAAGGGCGAUCUUUACAUUGGCCGCAUCGAGGAGGCCAUGUCCCUGAAAUGGAGCGGCGGUAUCCACUGCUUCCUCAAGCAGAAGAACUCAUCCGCUGCUUCCUCAACCAGAAGAACAACUCCAUCAGAGUUGUGGACAGCGUUGCCAAAACGGCCACAUCUAACUAGUAAUCUAUGUGACAACACAUGCCUUUCAGUUCUGUUAUGUAAAGUGAGAAUGCCGUUUAGUUGUGUAAACUGUGAGUUCAUUUUAGUUCUGUAAGUUAGUUAGCUACAAUCUACUUAACUUAUGUAAGCAAUUUUAAUGCAUGAUCAUGUUGCCAUGUUGGAUUAAAACCUCACUAUAAUAAGUGCGUUGUUUUGAA